AAAAAAAGUCUUCUUAAACAGCAGUUGAAUCAUUUCCUUUCAGAAGAUAUGAAGAAAGACACAAUAAAUAAACAAAUGUUGAUUUGGAGAAAUAUCAACAAAGGAAGACAGCAAUUUUAUGAAAGAGCUUACUAGGAGUGUUUAUCAUCAGCACUAUUCUCUAUGACAUCAGUUGAUUCUUGGAGGAGAAAUGGGAGAAAUGUCAUCUUACAUAUUAAUGUUAUGAUUGUGAUCCACCGAAACAUGGCCUGUGGUAUCCAGUACCUAUUCAUUGACACUGUUUGACAUGUGUUUUCACCUAUCAUAUCAUCUGUGUUAACAGCAAAAACUCAAAAAAAUCUACAUUGCAAACACAGACAAUCUUACUUUUUCCUGUAGAUCAACUUAUUUCUCUCUAUAUAUACAUUAUUUAUUAUUUUAUUCCCUUCAAUAGAAUAUUUUUAUUAGGGUAAUAUUUUUUCUUGUUGAUAUUAUUUAUUAUUUUUUAUUAUUUUUAUGUGGUUGUUGUUGUUGUUGUUGUUUUGUUUUUCACUUAAAAAGGAAUUACAGUGAGGUGUAAAGAGGAAUUACGGUGAGGAACAUUGUUUAAAUGCAUAGAGAUGUUUUUAAAAAAUAUUGUUUCAUUAUUCUGUGAUUCAAAACCUACCUGUAAAAGUCCAGUUAAAUCUUUAUCAAAAAAAUU
rnacentral:lncRNA from 1 species